rnacentral:rRNA from 1 species
UACGAAGGGGGCUAGCGUUGUUCGGAAUUACUGGGCGUAAAGGGCGCGUAGGCGGCCGUUUAAGUUAGGUGUGAAAGUCCUGGGCUCAACCUGGGGACUGCACUUAAUACUGGAUGGCUUGAAUUCGGGAGAGGAUAGCGGAAUUCCCAGUGUAGAGGUGAAAUUCGUAGAUAUUGGGAAGAACACCGAUGGCGAAGGCAGCCAUCUGGACCGACACUGACGCUGAGGCGCGAAAGCGUGGGGAGCAAACAGG